AUGGGUGGCAAGCUGAGCAAGAAGAAGAAGGGAUAUGAUGUCAGCGACCCCAAGGACAAAAAGGAGGAGAGUGCAGUGGUUACCACAUCAGCUACCGAGCAGAAGGAUGAACCCACUGAGGCCAACAAGGCUGGGGCCAACACAACACAACAGGAGGCUGCUGGUUCUGCUGAAACUCCAGUGGCAGGAGAACCAGCAGAACCAGAAGCUGCACCAUCGGAGGAAAAGGUAGAGGAGAAGAAAGAACCUACAGAAAGUGCCCAGCAACCUGUGACUGCAGUGGAGGCACCAGCGGUGGCACCUGCCACAGAGGAACAGGCUCCAAAAGAGCCAGAGGCUGCACCGGAGAAACCAGCGGCAGCACCGGUGGAGGCUGCACCUGUCACAGUUGAGGCUAAAUCUGUACCAGAGGAACCAGUGCCUCCACCAGAGGAACCAGCAGCUUCCACGGUAGGGACUGUAAGUGCUCCAGUAGUGGAAUCUGCCUCAGCCCCGGAAGAGGAUGCACCUGCCCCCAAAGAACCGGCACCUGCCCCAGCAGAGACUGUAGCUGCCUCUGUGGAACCUGAACCUGCACCUGCCCCAGUGGAAUCAGUACCUGCCUCUGUGGAACCUGAACCUGCACCUGCCCCAGUGGAAUCAGUACCUGCCCCAGUGGAAUCAGUACCUGCCACAGUGGAAUCAGUACCUGCCCAAGUGGAAUCAGUACCUGCCCCAGCAGAGACUGUAUCUUCCCCAGUUGAGGAGGUUCCUGCUACAGUUGAGGAUGUUUCUGUCACAGUGGAAUCAGUACCUGCCCCAGUGGAAUCUGUUCCUGCCCCAGUGGAGACUGUACCUUCCCCAGUCGAGGAGGUUCCUGCCCCAGUGGAGACUGUAUCUUCCCCAGUCGAGGAGGUUCCUGCCCCAGUGGAGACUGUAUCUUCCCCAGUUGAGGAGGUUCCUGCCCCAGUGGAAUCAGUACCUGCCCCAGUGGAGACUGUAUCAAGUCCAGUGGAAUCUGUACCACCUGAAGCAGAGGCUCCACCAGCCCCUGAAGAGCCUUCAGUUGUCCCAGUGGAGGCAAUAGCUACGCAAGUGGAAUCUGUCCCUGCUCCAGAAGAACCAGCAGCUUCACCACCAGAGCCUGAAGCUCUAUCACAAGAACCAGCUGCUGCAGAACCAGAACCCACCAGAGAGGAACCUAUAGCUGCCCCAGAGGAGCCUGUAGAUCCCCCACAAGAACCACAAUCAGCAGAACCUGAAGUUGCAGUCGAGGAACCAGAAACAAAACCAGUAGCUGCCGAACCUGAAGAACCUAAGGCUGCACCAGAAGAGCCAAUUGCUGUACCAAACGAACCUGAACCAGAAGAACCUGUAGCUGCACCAAAAGAACCUGAACCAGAAGAGCCUGCCACUGCACCUGAGGAACCUGCAGCCACCCCAGAAGAGCCUGCAGCUUCCCCCGAAGAGCUUGCAGCAGUACAGGUAGUGGAAGAAGCCGUCCAGGAGGUUCUGAGCACCAUGGAAGCUGAGCAAGUAUCGGUCCCAGAGGUUCAGGAACCUGAGCCCGUCGCUGCAACUCCAGAACCUGAACCUGAACCUGCUGUUGCUUCUGAACCUGAACCUGCGGAGAAAGAGAAAGAGCCAGAGAGCGAAGAGCUCAUUCCUGAGAUUGUGAUUUCUGAAUCGGUUUCAGCCAAUGAGCUUUCGGCUGAGGAACCCGGCCCCGCCCCUGCCGAUACGGAAGAGAAGUUGGACAACGGAGAGUGUGACGGCGCUGGAGUAGAGGAGGUGCAAGAACCCUCAGAGCCUGAACCUAAAGUCAACGGGGAUUGUAAGGAGAAGGUCAAUGGAAACGCCAAUGGAGAUGCCAAUGGAGAUGCCCAGGAGUGUGUGAACGGAGUAGAGGUGGAAAAACACGCAGCUCAAGAACACACUGACUGUGACCUGAAAAAGGAUCUAAGCCUAGCUGCUGACCCCACCGCAGAUCUGGUGGUCAGCCAGGCCAUCGAUACGGCGUGA
rnacentral:lncRNA from 1 species